rnacentral:rRNA from 1 species
GAUGAACGCUGGCGGCGUGCCUAAUACAUGCAAGUCGAGCGAACAGAUGAGGAGCUUGCUCCUCUGACGUUAGCGGCGGACGGGUGAGUAACACGUGGAUAACCUACCUAUAAGACUGGGAUAACUUCGGGAAACCGGAGCUAAUACCGGAUAAUAUAUUGAACCGCAUGGUUCAAUAGUGAAAGACGGUUUUGCUGUCACUUAUAGAUGGAUCCGCGCCGCAUUAGCUAGUUGGUAAGGUAACGGCUUACCAAGGCAACGAUGCGUAGCCGACCUGAGAGGGUGAUCGGCCACACUGGAACUGAGACACGGUCCAGACUCCAACGGGAGGCAGCAGUAGGGAAUCUUCCGCAAUGGGCGAAAGCCUGACGGAGCAACGCCGCGUGAGUGAUGAAGGUCUUCGGAUCGUAAAACUCUGUUAUUAGGGAAGAACAAAUGUGUAAGUAACUAUGCACGUCUUGACGGUACCUAAUCAGAAAGCCACGGCUAACUACGU